UGCAUGUCGAGCGAAUCAUUGGGAGCUUGCUCCCUGAGAUUAGCGGCGGACGGGUGAGUAACACGUGGGCAACCUGCCUAUAAAACUGGGAUAACUUCGGGAAACCGGAGCUAAUACCGGAUACGUUCUUUUCUCGCAUGAGAGAAGAUGGAAAGACGGUUUACGCUGUCACUUAUAGAUGGGCCCGCGGCGCAUUAGCUAGUUGGUGAGGUAAUGGCUCACCAAGGCGACGAUGCGUAGCCGACCUGAGAGGGUGAUCGGCCACCCUGGGACUGAAACACGGCCCAGACUCCUACGGGAGGCAGCAGUAGGGAAUCUUCCGCAAUGGACGAAAGUCUGACGGAACAACGCCGCGUGAACGAAGAAGGCCUUCCGGUCGUAAAGUUCUGUUGUUAGGGAAGAACAAGUACCAGAGUAACUGCUGGUACCUUGACGGUACCUAACCAGAAAGCCACGGCUAACUACGUGCCAGCAGCCGCGGUAAUACGUAGGUGGCAAGCGUUGUCCGGAAUUAUUGGGCGUAAAGCGCGCGCAGGUGGUUCCUUAAGUCUGAUGUGAAAGCCCACGGCUCAACCGUGGAGGGUCAUUGGAAACUGGGGAACUUGAGUGCAGAAGAGGAAAGUGGAAUUCCAAGUGUAGCGGUGAAAUGCGUAGAGAUUUGGAGGAACACCAGUGGCGAAGGCGACUUUCUGGUCUGUAACUGACACUGAGGCGCGAAAGCGUGGGGAGCAAACAGGAUUAGAUACCCUGGUAGUCCACGCCGUAAACGAUGAGUGCUAAGUGUUAGAGGGUUUCCGCCCUUUAGUGCUGCAGCUAACGCAUUAAGCACUCCGCCUGGGGAGUACGGCCGCAAGGCUGAAACUCAAAGGAAUUGACGGGGGCCCGCACAAGCGGUGGGA
rnacentral:rRNA from 2 species